GUGACCUUCCUCACCUGAGGUGGAAUCGGCCUUCCUCAUCUGAGGUGGAAGGUGACCUUCCUCAUCUGAGGGUGAAGGUGACCUUCCUCACCUGAGGUGGAAUCGACCUUCCUCAUCUGAAGUGGAAUCGGCCUUCCUCAUCUGAGGUGGAAUCGACCUUCCUCACCUGAGGUGGAAUCGACCUUCCUCAUCUGAGGUGGAAGGUGACCUUCCUCAUCUGAGGUGGAAUCGACCUUCCUCAUCUGAGGUGGAAUCGACCUUCCUCAUCUGAGGUGGAAGGUGACCUUCGUCAUCUGAGGGGGAAGGUGACCUUCCUCACCUUCCUCAUCUGAGGUGGAAUCGACCUUCCUCAUCUGAGGUGGAAUCGGCCUUCCUCAUCUGAGGUGGAAUCGACCUUCCUCAUCUGAGGUGGAAUCGACCUUCCUCAUCUGAGGUGGAAUCGACCUUCCUCAUCUGAGGUGGAAGGUGACCUUCGUCAUCUGAGGGGGAAGGUGACCUUCCUCACCUUCCUCAUCUGAGGUGGAAUCGACCUUCCUCAUCUGAGGUGGAAUCGGCCUUCCUCAUCUGAGGUGGAAUCGACCUUCCUCAUCUGAGGUGGAAUCGACCUUCCUCAUCUGAGGUGGAAUCGACCUUCCUCAUCUGAGGUGGAAUCGACCAUCCUCAUCUGAGGUGGAAGGUGACCUUCCUCACCUUCCUCAUCUGAGGUGGAAUCGACCUUCCUCAUCUGAGGGGGAAGUUGACCUUCCUCAUCUGAGGUGGAAGGUGUCCUUCCUCAUCUGAGGUGGAAGGUGACCUUCCUCAUUUGAGGGUGGAAGGUGACCUUCCUCAUCUGAGGUGGAAUCGAUCUUCCUCAUCUGAGGGGGAAGGUGACCUUCCUAAUCUGAGGUGGAAGGUGACCUUCCUCAUCUGAGGUGGAAGGUGACCUUCCUCAUCUGAGGUGGAAUCGACCUUCCUCAUCUGAGGGGGAAUCGACCUUCCUCAUCUGAGGGGGGAAGUUGACCUUCCUCAUCUGAGGUGGAAGGUGACCUUCCUCAUCUGAGGGGGGAAGUUGACCUUCCGCAUCUGAGGGGAAGGUGACCUUCAUCAUCUGAGGUGGAAGGUGACAGAGCUACAGCGGUGUUUGUCAAGAGAUCGUGGUGAAACAUCCUUGAAAAAUUUGGUUUUCUCACAAAUACUUCUGUAGCGUCCUAACGAGUCAGAUUGGACCAUCUUAAAACAAUUCCAUAUGUAACCAGGAUGUACGAUUUAGUUUAGUAGGAACUCAGUGCCCUGGGGCCCUUAGACCCCUUUUUCUUUUAACAGCUUUGUGAUGAGGAAUAUAAUUAUAUUGAAACUAACCUGCCAACUGGAACUAAGCCUUAGAGGCACAGACACA